CAAAUUGUUACUUCUACUGAUUCUCUAGAUGAUAGUAUUUCAAAUUUAUCCUCAUCAACAGUAUAUCUCGAUAAGGAGAAAAAAAAUAUUCAUGAAUUUUUGACAGUAAAACAAGAUAGUGAACCUUUAUCUUUGGCAUUAGAAAACAUGAUGAAACAAAAAAUGGUGAAGAAAAAAAACGGUCAUUACUUCCAACAAUGUCCAGAAUUUGCUCUAUUAAAUAAUUUAGUAGAUGAUGAAAAAUCUAAAGUUAUCAAAAAAAGAAAAGAUUUUUUACUUCGCAAUGGUAAUAAAACCGGUCCAGUUCAAUUUAAAGGAAUUAAACAGACAGCAUUAAAUACUUGCCCCUUUGACUCAAUAGUUCAAAUCAUCUUCACAGCAGCAAUCGACAAUACUCAUUAUCGGCACUUCAUCAAUAACUCUGACCUUUCAAUAUUUAAAUUCAUAAAAAGUUUUAUAGAGACCGGAGCAACACGGAAAAUUAUACGAACAACGAAUGGCUAUUUUACAUAAUAUUUAUGACACAAAAAAAUUGGAAGAAGAUAGUUUCAAAUUUAAGGUUGCUCCCUACAUAAAUUGCCAUGAUAACGUCAUCCAGCUUUGGAACAAAUUGCAUGAAUCUGCACCAAGUGUUAUCGAAACAACUUCAUGCUCAAAUAGUUUGUGUCAAAUUUACACACAAAAUAUUCCAACUUUAAGUGCUAACCACAGAAUCAUAACAAGACAUGGAUUCAGAGCUCUUGAAAAAGCUUUACAAUUUUAUCAUAAAAUUUUCAAAGUUCGUUGUCCAUUUUGCUUUAAAGCAAUUGCAACUCGUGUCACUGUUCCUCAAAAAUAUCUUUUUAUAGAAUUAGAUAUACGGGACGAAAAGUGUCGACCUAAAAGAAAGUGUAAACUAAGUGAGCUUUAUUUAUUUAAAUUUGCAACUGGAAAGUAGUGAGGAAUCUAAAACUAAUUUACGUUAUAGAAUAUCAGGCGUUGUGGCGUUUAUCACGGGUCAUUACUUGGCUUAUUGCAGACGAUUAGGAGGUAAUUGGCAGGUAUACAACGAUCUGUCAAUAAAACCGGAAUCUGUACCUGAACAUGCCGAAGUUGAAGUGCACGCAGUGUUCUAUACAUUAGAAUAAUAAAUUUUUAGAAGAUUAAUUAAUAUUUAUUGAAAUUAAGGCUAAACUUUCCUUUUGGGUCCGUCGAUUUGGAAGUUCACAAUAUUAGUUGUGGAUAGUAUUCAUAAAUAAAAAGCUGUUUGCAAAAUUUCAAGUUGCGGAGACUCACGGCUUACGAGAUAUGAUUUUUUAAAGUUUCCGUAAAUAAUAGAAAAAUUGUCAAGGUAGAUGUCACAUAGACUUGCGCAAAACAUCACUUCCCAAUGUAAUGUGAUAUGACAUCACUUUUACAGAUAGGUGAUAUUACUCGAAAACAUUACACAUCACUCUUAACAUUACUCGGUGCGUUCAAAGUGAUGUGUAUAAACACAUCACUUAGGUAAUGAUUCGGGUGUAUAGAUACAAUGUAUUCGUCGUCACAGUAUCUAUUGAACGCACCGAGUAAUGUUAAGAGUGAUGUGUAAUGUUUUCAUCAAUCAUUACCUAAGUGAUGUGUAUAAACACAUCACUUAGGUAAUGAUUCGGGUGUGUCAUUACAGUAGUGUAUUACAAUACAAAGUAUGAACUUUGUAUUGUAAUACACUGUUAUAUUACUUGACAGAUUGACUUACUUAAUAAUAUAAUAAUUUUAUUUUUUACUUAAUAUAAUUUAUUGUGGGAUGAACGGAUUUCAUAUGGCGACUUAGACUGCAAAUUGAGCUCGACAAUAAUGUUAAUAUACGAGAGCAGUAGAUGCAUUGUUUCGGCGCGAUAUCCUCAAAGUGCAUCCAAGGAGGACUGUACUUUCAUUUAGACGCCGUUAUUUCUUUCACUUAUUAAACACGCAUUAAAACAAAUAAUAAAACUAUCUUCAAACAAGUGCUUAAGUAAUUCAAAUCAAACACAAAAAUUAAUAUGAAAUAUUACUAAAUAAUUACGAGCGACAAGCGAUUUUACAAAAGUUGCGAAUAAAAAAUUAAGUAAGUACUUGCGGGGAGCUACCGGCUGGCCGUAUGAAAAAUAUAAACACAAAUACCUAUAUUAAAAUUCAGACGUACCAUAGGUAUAAAAAUGUACCUAGCGGCCAGGACAUACGGUUCAAAAUCACUAGGAAUAAUUCCGUGUCGCUUGCUCAUUUAUUUUGCGUCGAUCGGUCUGUCUCGCUCGCUCGGUUCCGUUCGUGUAUUAAGCAACAUUACACGACAAAGAAAGAAACAUGUUGGGUGAUAGUGUGAUGUUUGUUUCCUUCGCGUAAUGUGUGAUGUUGCAUUACAUCGUAGAGUAAUAUUACCCGAGUAAUAUCACUCGCAUUACUUACACAUGUCUAAUGUCACAUUUGACGUUUCACGUUCCAUUCACGCUAAGCGUGUAUUUUAUUUUGUUAAAUUUUAUGUCAUGUUUUUACCGAAAUAUAUUUUAUUAUUUUAAUAUAUUUACAUAGUUUUGUUGUAAUUAAUGUGCAUUGUAACUGUUUCUGUAAUAAGCAAUUAUAUUUUAUAGCGUCUUUUUAUCUGUCUCUGUAACAAACUAACUUUUUAAAUAAGAUUGAAAUAUAAAACAGUAAAAUUGCUCGUGAUUUGGAAAUAAAAUUGCAAAAAUAUUGGAAAAAUAUCGAAAACCGAAUCAGCCCACUUUCCACCUGCUCUUGUCUGCCCUACCCUUAGAGUGUAUAUAAAAAACCGGAGGCGCGGAGGGAGAGCAGUUCUCGCCCGCUGUGGCGGAGCACGAAAACAGUGGGAGGCGGAGCGGCUGAGGCUGGUCGCCGUAGGCAACCAUCAAGCCGAAGCUGCGGAGCGGAGCACGAGUGACCAUGCUUCGGCACGCAAGGGCGGAAGGGCUGCUCUUCCCGCAGCGCCGGAGAUAAGGCGGAUUCAAACUUAAGCUCCCUUGGAGUUUAACUAAAUAAUACAGUUUUAAUCUAAAAAAAUAACCAUGGAUAUCUUCAUAACCAUGGGGAUCUGCGGCAUGGUGAUGGUGCAGUGGUAAGCCCUUACACCCUUCCCUCCACAACUCAAAAACAAUGGACCAUAAUUGAAAUUUUAAACCAUGUUGAAUAAAUAGUGACUACACUAAAUAGUAAUUCUAACCUCAAAACAUUAACCGUGGAUAUCUUCAUAACCAUGGAAUUCCGCGGAGUGGGGAUGGUGCAGGGGGUAAACCUUUACACAGCUUCUCUAACCGACACUGCAUGGAAUAAAUUAUCAUUAUAAAUAUAUUACUGUUUACAUACCAUACAAUUUUCAUAGUUCAUCAAUCCAAAUAUGAAUUUGGAUUGAUAUGAAUUUAUUUCGAUUAUCAAAAUAAUUUGUAUUAAACAUUUGUAUUUCCUCAAAAUUUCUAAUUUUAUAAUAAUGACUGUAACCACCCCAUAAAUCACAAAAUAAAAAAUAUUAAAGAUAACUUAUUUUUAAAUCAUAGAUUAAAAAUUAUAAACAAAGAUAGCUUAAAAUAUUAUAUGCCUAUCAUUCUUAAAUAAUUCAGUAAAUAAAUAAUGAUGUGAAAGAUAUUAUGCACAAGUUCAAAUGCAUAUUAUUAUGUAUUGUGCUAAAAGUAAAACUUGCUACCUUUGCGUAGCAAGCAGCAAAUUUGAAAAAAAUAAUCAGGUCACUAUAAUUAGUAUUGAUUUUGAUCCCGAGUAUGUUGCACAGUUGUAAGAUAAUGUAGUUUCUUUUUGGAAGAAUAACAUUUUUCUAAUCUAACACAAAAAUGUAAUGUUAAAUUCUUAAAAAAAUCUAUAUACCUAUUUUCCUUUUAGGGAGUACAAAAUAUUAAUGUGCACAAAGUGAAUGUGAUUUAAUAAAAAUAAUAUUUCAAUUUAAA